rnacentral:rRNA from 1 species
GACGAACGCUGGCGGCGUGCUUAACACAUGCAAGUCGAACGGAAAGGCCCUGCUUUUGUGGGGUGCUCGAGUUGCGAACGGGUGAGUAACACGUGAGUAACCUGCCCUUGACUUUGGGAUAACUUCAGGAAACUUGGGCUAAUACCGGAUAGGAGCUCCUGCUUCUUGGUGGGGGUUGGAAAGUUUCGGCGGUUGGGGAUGGACUCGCGUCUUAUCAGCUUGUUGGUGGGGUAGUGGCUUACCAAGGCUUUGACGGGUAGCCGGCCUGAGAGGGUGACCGGCCAAAUUGGGACUGAGAUAAGGCACAGACUCCUACGGGAGGCAGCAGUGGGGAAUAUUGCACAAUGGGCGGAAGCCUGAUGCAGCAACGCAGCGUGGGGGAUGACGGCCUUCGGGUUGUAAACCGCUUUCGCCUGUGACGAAGCGUGAGUGACGGUAAUGGGUAAAGAAGCACCGGCUAACUACGUG